GACGAACGCUGGCGGCGUGCCUAAUACAUGCAAGUAGAACGCAGUUGCGAACGGGUGAGUAACGCGUAGGUAACUUCCUGGUAGCGGGGGCUAACUAUUGGAAACGAUAGCUAAUACCGCAUACUACCAGAUGGACCUGCGUUGUAUUAGCUAGUUGGUGGGGUAACGGCUCACCAAGGCAACGAUACAUAGCCGACCUGUGAGGGUGAGGGGGAACAGUGGGACUGAGACACGGCCCAGACUCCUUAGGGAGGCAGCAGUAGGGAAUCUUCGGAAAUGGGGGGAACACUGAACGAGCAACGCCGCGUGAGUGAAGAAGGUUGUCGGAUCGUAAAGCUCUGUUGUUAAGGAAGAGGUACUUAACAAGAAAGGGACGGCUAACUACGUGCCAGCAGCCGCGGUAAUAC
rnacentral:rRNA from 1 species